rnacentral:rRNA from 1 species
GACGAACGCUGGCGGCGUGCCUAAUACAUGCAAGUAGAACGCUGAAGAAAGGAGCUUGCUUCUUUUGGAUGAGUUGCGAACGGGUGAGUAACGCGUAGGUAACCUGCCUUGUAGCGGGGGAUAACUAUUGGAAACGAUAGCUAAUACCGCAUAACAGCUUUUGACACAUGUUAGAAGCUUGAAAGAUGCAAUUGCAUCACUACGAGAUGGACCUGCGUUGUAUUAGCUAGUAGGUAGGGUAACGGCCUACCUAGGCGACGAUACAUAGCCGACCUGAGAGGGUGAUCGGCCACACUGGGACUGAGACACGGCCCAGACUCCUACGGGAGGCAGCAGUAGGGAAUCUUCGGCAAUGGGGGCAACCCUGACCGAGCAACGCCGCGUGAGUGAAGAAGGUUUUCGGAUCGUAAAGCUCUGUUGUAAGAGAAGAACGUGUGUGAGAGUGGAAAGUUCACACAGUGACGGUAACUUACCAGAAAGGGACGGCUAACUACGUGCCAGCCGCCGCGGUAAUAC